CGUAAAAGCGUGGUCAAAAGCUUUUUGAAAGAUUCCUAUUUUAUUUUGGAGUUGCACAGAGGUAUACCACAAAACAGAAAUGCUACCACCAUAGCAUUUUCUCCAUACAUUUGUUAAUAUCUUUUCCUAAUGCUUUUUCAUCAUAGAAACCAUUUUGGAGAAUGGAGAAUAUGGAUGGUUCUCAGCACAGACAAGCAGAGUAAGUUAAUGUAGCUAUUCAUUACAGAUUCUCUGGUACUUUUGUAUACUUUUUAGCCAAUAGUUCUGAAAAUUGCCUACUACGUCACAUAUGAGCAGAUAUGCGCACCAUGUCAUUGCUCUCUCUCUCUCUCUCUCUCUCUCUCUCUCUCUGCUGUGUCCACUGAGCCAUUGGGCCCGCCCUGCAACCUCAUUGGAGAACGCUGGACAGGUCUCUUCUAGCUGUCACUUGCAUCCAUAUCCCAGGUCGGGGUGGAAGGUCCUAUAUAUAGGGGAAGUACUCAGUGACAUCACUUCCUGAAAAAACAGUUUCAAGUCAAACCUCUCGUUAAGGCCAAGAGGAGACAGUGUUCAGCCUGUGGAUCCAGGAUGAUUCCCUUAGAAGAAGUUUCCUCUCAAUGUCUCCUCCCCUGCGUGACAUAUUGACAAUUUCUAUUCUAAUGUAUCCCAG